AUGCAGAGGAGGAAAAAAGGAUGUAGGUUUUUUGUUUGGGUGGAUGUUGAAUUUCCACCUCAAGAGAAGGCUCUGGUGAGUUGGCUACUUAGAAGAUUGAAGGAACUUGAAAAGGACGUUGGGCGUUGUCAAUCAAGAGAAAGAAAGUUAAUGAGUUGGCUUAUUCUUUCAUGGGGUUUAGUAAUGUUGUUGUUUUGGCAAUGUCUGUAA
rnacentral:lncRNA from 1 species